CGAGAAAAUCGAUAUCCCCGAGCGCCGGUGCAAGAGCGCCAUGUUCUGUUGUCGCAAAAUGUUUUCCACGCGCAAGCAUCGUCCUGCCGUCUGAUUAAGUUACACGCACCUAAAUAACAGUUUGCAUUGUUGUGAUAAUCGAGAAAACCAUCUGAAGCGCCGCUAUCGAACGGCGUAUCAAGAAUUAAGUGACACAGUACUCAGUUGACCGACGCAUUCCGUAUACAAUUCGACGGCAGUUUUGUCGUCUUACUGCCAUUUCACCUUUCCUGCGCACUACUAGAAAUAGACGUCUUCGCAUAGCUGUGUUGUGUCGUCAAGUGAAAGAUACCUUACCAAAGUAUUCGGACAACCGUAUUGACGUAGUACGAGUGAAGCAGAACUGCAAAAAUGGUUUUGAGAUAUCCUCUCCGCGCCUGAAAUAUAAUCAAGGUCACGCGAUACGCGACGAGUGCGAAAAACGCAUUGAGACGCAGUUGAUACAUCUGGUGGAUAAAUUUCGCCCAACAACGAGUGAAGAGAGCUUUUUUCAAACGCUCGCCAAGGCCAUAGAUGCGCCCGGAGUAUCCGGACGAUAACUUGCAAAGCGCGGCAGGUUGUCAAAAAUCCAACAUCAAGAUGUUGGACCAAGACAUGGCCGGUGCGCAGGACACCAUAUACCUGUGCAACUUUCGCGUGUCCGUCGACGGCGACUGGCUAUGUUUGAAGGAGCUGCAGGACGUCGAGUUCAGCUCGAUGCCCGAAACGAUGCAGCGCUCGCCCUCGCCACCCAUCGGCCUUAGCGGUAUACAGUGCGAUCUGCAGCAGCCUAGCCAUGAUGAUGCGCCAGAGCUUUGCGAUAUUCUUUCGUCACCCAUUCAGCACGUCUCUUGUUUGUCGCGCGAUCCAGUAAUUAUCGAACGGAGCAACCUGGUAAACAUCUCGAAACUUAUCGUCAAAGAACUCAUAGAAACAUCCCUCAAGUAUGGACGUAUGCUUGAUUCCGAUCACAUGCCUCUGCAGCACUUUUUUAUCGUCCUCGAACACGUACUCAGACAUGGUUUGCGUCCCAAAAAGGGAUUACUCGGCCCCAAGAAGGAGCUGUGGGAUAUUCUUCAGUUGGUCGAGAAGUAUUGUCCAGAAGCACAGGAUAUGACCUCGAGUAUCCGCGACUUACCUACUGUUAGGACAGCGAUGGGUAGAGCACGAGCAUGGUUGAGAAUGGCGUUGAUGCAGAAGAAGCUCGCAGACUACCUGAAAGUCCUGAUAGAUCACAAGGACGAUCUGCUGUCUGAGUAUUUUGAACCAGACGCACUGAUGAUGAGUGAGGAAGCGAUAGUGGUCAUGGGUCUACUGGUCGGACUGAAUGUGAUCGACUGUAACUUUUGCGUAAAGGAAGAAGACCUCGACUGUCAGCAAGGCGUAAUUGACUUCUCGUUGUACCUCAGGAACAGCAAUCAUAUUCCAGGAGAGUCGCCGGACGACGAGUUGGAGAACGAUAACAUGACAACAGUGCUCGAUCAAAAGAAUUACAUAGAGGAGCUCAACAGACAUCUGAACGCUACGGUUCAGAAUCUCCAAGCUAAAGUUGAAUCUCUCACCACAACAAAUGCCUUAAUGAUAGAAGAUUUGUCGAUAGCAAAAAAUAACAUUCUCUCCCUUCAUUAUGAGAACCAGCAGCUCAAAAAAGAAUUAGGCAUAGAAGUCAAAGACACAAACGAGAGCGGAAAAGCGCCAAUCAAAAUUACGGAAACAACUUCAGAAAUGGAGGAAUUAAGAAGUAGACUAGAAACGGAGAAGAGGCUAAGGAGCGAAGCGGAAAAAGAGUUGGAAUUACAGAUAAGCAUGAAGUCUGAAAUGGAAGUUGCAAUGAAACUCCUGGAAAAGGAUAUUCACGAGAAGCAGGAUACUAUUAUAUCACUACGGCGACAACUGGACGAUAUUAAGCAAAUUAACCUGGAAAUGUACAAAAAAUUACAGGAGUGCGAGCAGGAGUUGACGCAGAAAGGUGAGAUGGUAAGCAGGCUGCACGCCAAGACGAAUCAGAUAGGCAAACUACUCAACAAUCUGGAGAAGUUCAAUCACUACAUGAAGGACGGCGAGGGUGGCCGCAGCCCUACAGGUUACAAGGCCAUCAUGAACAGAUCGAGCCCUACGACCCCAAGGGAUCAGCAGCCACCCAUGCGACCGAGGUCUAUGUUUGAUACAACGGACACGAUAAAACCCCAGCCAAAACCCGCAACGACGCCGUCGGGGAACAAGCGAAUCACUGGUCCACCUGAGUCGAAGCAACCGUCACCUAAGGAGAACAAAGAAGCCGCUGCCGCGCCAGCUGAUUAAAUCGCUUCAUCUUGCUCUAUCUCUUUUUUCCUUUUCUUUUCUUGUAAAAGUGUCUGCUCUGCUUUGAUCGAGACAAGUCAGUGACCGGAUUCAUUAUAUUGCACCCCUAAUUGGAGAAGCCGAAGCAAUGUUUUCUAUUGAUUUGUAUGAUUUCGAAAUUGUUUACAAUACCUGAUGCAUACUUAUACGAAUCGAUUGUUCUGCGACAGUCGCGGGCGUCAAUUAUUGGGCAAUUGAACUAAUUCGAUUAUGCAUAAAAAAUUUCAAUGAUCAUGUUAUUGCAUUUUGAUGUACUUAUGAUAAACAUCUUCUGCAGUCAAAACCUUAACGCCUAUGUAAUGCUAUCAUAGUGUAUAAGCUAAGCAGUCGAAAUUUAUGAUUUGUCAGAUUUUAGAAAAUAUUGUUUGUGAUAACUCAGCGUAUACUUUGGCUUUCAUUUUCAAUUGCACAAUUUAUUAACGAGAUGGAACGAAUUUCAGGAAUGCGAGAGUUCACUUAGGCAUAAAACUGAACUGAUAGCUAAAUUGGAAGCAAAAACUUAUUCAAUGACUGAAACCAUCCAGAGGAUGGACGAAAAGUACAAGGCGAUGGAGGACGUGCGUUCGGGCGUGGAGGAGCGGGUGCGGGUGCUGGGAGCCGAGGCAGCGGAGAAGGAGGCUCGCGCCACGGGAAUCGAGCGCGAGCUCAAGAUCGAGCGCGAGUGGAGGACGUCCCUGCAGGAGUCGUCGAUCAACAGCACCGAGAAGAUCUCCCAGCUUCACCAGGAGAUCGACCACCUGCGGAAGGAGUCCGAGAAGUACAAGAGCCUGCAGGAGGAGCACUACGCGCUGAAGGAGAUCUGCCAAGAGCAGGAGAAGACGCUCGAGGAGUUGGGCGGUCAGCUGAGCGCGGCAAAACUCGCGGCGGUGGAGCUGCGCGAGAACGCGGCGCACCUGCAGGGCUGCAGCCCGGGUCAGUCGUCGCAGCAGCCGCAUCCACCUGACGGCACGGGCACGGCCACCUGGGCCAACGACCGGAUGGUCACUCAGUGCAAGGGCUGCAGCAGGGAAUUCAACAUUGCUCGACGCAAGCACCACUGUCGCAACUGCGGUAACAUCUUCUGCAACGCCUGCAGCGACAACACCAUAGCCUUGCCGAACUCGACCAAGCCGGUCCGAGUCUGCGACGAGUGCCACGUCUUUCUGGUCGGACGUUACUCCGUGGUGCACUAGCUACGCGCUGUGCCGAUUUUACGACAUUCACGAGACAGCGACAUCACUUUGGAAGCAUAUGGUAACGCCCAAGCGCGUUGCGUAGUUCGAAGCGCUUUUGCGAUGAUUGUUACAUAUAGUACAAGGAGCUUUGCUUCCCCCAUUCGAAUGAGCAUUUUUCUAUUUACGAACUCGCACACAGAGUUCUAUGUUGAAUUUGAACAAAGAGAGAUAUAUGAUUAUUUUAAGACAAUGAAUUAACUAUACUACUACUAUAUGCUGAUAUUUUCGCCUGAAUGAUAUAUAUUAUUGUUACUUAUAAGUUUACACUACAUCACAUACAAAAUAUGCAGAUCUUG